rnacentral:rRNA from 1 species
GAUGAACGCUGGCGGCGUGCUUAACACAUGCAAGUCGAACGGAAAGGCUCCUGCUUGCAGGGGUACUCGAGUGGCGAACGGGUGAGUAACACGUGGGUGAUCUGCCCUGCACUUCGGGAUAAGCCUGGGAAACUGGGUCUAAUACCGGAUAGGACGAUGGUUUGGAUGCCAUUGUGGAAAGUUUUUCGGUGUGGGAUGAGCUCGCGGCCUAUCAGCUUGUUGGUGGGGUAAUGGCCUACCAAGGCGUCGACGGGUAGCCGGCCUGAGAGGGUGUAUGGCCACAUUGGGACUGAGAUACGGCCCAGACUCCUACGGGAGGCAGCAGUGGGGAAUAUUGCACAAUGGGCGCAAGCCUGAUGCAGCGACGCCGCGUGGGGGAUGACGGCCUUCGGGUUGUAAACUCCUUUCGCUAGGGACGAAGCGCAAGUGACGGUACCUGGAGAAGAAGCACCGGCUAACUACGUG